rnacentral:rRNA from 1 species
UACGUAGGGUGCAAGCGUUGUCCGGAAUUAUUGGGCGUAAAGGGCUCGUAGGCGGUUUGUCGCGUCGGGGAGUGAAAACCUACAGCUUAACUGUGGGCUUGCUUUCGAUACGGGCAGACUUGAGGCAUGCAGGGGAGAGCGGAAUUCCUGGUGUAGCGGUGAAAUGCGCAGAUAUCAGGAGGGAACACCGGUGGCGAAGGCGGGACUCUGGGCCGAUACUGACGCUGGAGGC